AGUCCUGGAGUGUUAACACGUCGGAUUGCAAAUCCGAAGAUGCGGCCUAAAGCUCCGCCGGGGCUU
rnacentral:tRNA from 1 species